rfam:Tncultured Thiohalocapsa sp. PB-PSB1 scaffold_866, whole genome shotgun sequence.
GUUGUGGCGACAAUGCUUCGGGAGGAAGCCGCCUGGAAAUCCGGGUACCGCGAACGUACGGGGUGACGAACAGGAAUCGGGUAUAAGGCGCAUACGUCGGGACGAGUCUGCACAACAAGAUAAAGUCCUCUAUCUAUUGCUAGGCGUAUCCGCAAACCCGGCACUCACGUACAGAAAGAGAUGUGU